rnacentral:rRNA from 1 species
AGGACGAACGCUGGCGGCGCGCUUAACACAUGCAAGUCGAGCGAGAACCGGUCCUUCGGGACCGGGGAAAGCGGCGAACGGGUGAGUAACACGUGGGUAAUCAACCCUCGGUACCGGGAUAGCCCGAGGAAACUCGGAUUAAUACCGGAUGGCCCAACAGCCUUUCGGGGCGGUUGGAAAAGGUAGCUUCGGCCUCCGACCGAGGACGAGCCCGCGGCGGAUUAGCUUGUUGGUGGGGUAACGGCCCACCAAGGCGACGAUCCGUAGCUGGUCUGAGAGGACGAUCAGCCACACUGGGACUGAGACACGGCCCAGACUCCUACGGGAGGCAGCAGUGGGGAAUCUUGCACAAUGGGCGAAAGCCUGAUGCAGCGACGCCGCGUGAGGGAAGAAGGCUUUCGGGUUGUAAACCUCUUUCAGGAGGGACGAAGCUACUCGGGUUAAUAGCCCAGAGGGUGACGGUACCUCCAGAAGAAGCCCCGGCUAACUACGUGCCAGCAGCCGC